UGUUACACAUUUCAUAAUAUCUGUAUAAUACUGUUAUGUAACCUGCCUGUGUCCUCAGCAUCAGGAGACAGUGAGUCGGACAGUGUUACACCAUCAUAUAUCUGUAUAAUACUGUAUGUAACCUGUCCUGUGUCCUCCGCAUCAAAGAGGACAGUGAGUCUGGACAGUGUCUACCACAUAUAUAUCUGUAUAUACUGUAUGUAACCUGUCCUGUGUCCUCAGCAUCAGGAGACAGUGAGUCUGGACAGUGUUACACAUCAUAUAUCUGUAUAAUACUGUAUGUAACCUGUCCUGUGUCCUCAGCAUCAGGAGACAGUGAGUCUGGACAGUGUUCACAUCAUAUAUCUGUAUAAUACUGUAUAUCUGUAUGUAACCUGUCCUGUGUCCUCAGCAUCAGGAGACAGUGAGUCUGGACAGUGUUACACAUCAUAUAUCUGUAUAAUACUGUAUGUAACCUGUCCUGUGUCCUCAGCCUCAGGAGACAGUGGUCUGGCAGUGUUACACAUCAUAUAUCGGUAUAAUACUGUAGUAACCUGUCCUGUGUCCUCAGCAUCAGGAGACAGUUGAGUCUGGACAGUGUUACACACAUCUAUCUGUAUAAUACUGUAUGUAACCUGACCUGUGUCCUCAGAUAGGAGACAGUGAGUUCUGACAGUGUUACACAUCAUAUAUCUGUAUAAUACUGUAUGUAACCUGACCUGUGUCCUCAGAUCAGCGAGACAGUGAGUCCGUGACAGUGUGUACAAUCAUAUAUCUGUAUAAUUACUGUGUAACCUGUCCUUGUCCUCAGCAUCAGGGACAGUGGGUCUGGACUGUUUACACAUCAUAUAUCUGUAUAAUACUGUAUAUCUAUGUAACCUGUCCUGUGUCCUCAGCAUCAGGAGACAGUGAGUCUUGACAGUGUUACACAUCAUAUAUCUGUAUAAUAAUGUAUGUAACCUGUCCUGUGUCCUCAGCAUCAGGAGACCAGUGAGUCUGGACAGUGUUUACACAUCAUAUCUGUAUAAUACUGUAUGUAAACCUGUCCUGUGUCCUCAGCAUCAGGGACAGUGAGUCUGGACCGUGUUACACAUCAUAUAUCUGUAUAAUACGUAUAUCUCAUUGUAACCUGUCCUGUGUCCUCAGCAUCAGGAGACAGUGAGUCUGGACCGUGUUACAUCAUCUAUCUGUAUAAUAACUGUAUUCUGUAUGAACCUGUCCUGUGUCCUCGCAUCAGGAGACAGUGAGCCUGGACAGUGUUCAAAUCAAAUCAAAUCAAAUUUUUAUAUAGCCCUUCGUACUCAGCUGAUAUCUCCAAAGUGCUGACAGAAACCAGCCUAAAACCCCA
rnacentral:lncRNA from 1 species